GAAUGGAAGGNCAUCGCUCAACGGAUAAAAGGUACUCCGGGGUAUAACAGGCUGAUACCGCCCAAGAGUUCAUAUCGACGGCGGUGUUUGGCACCUCGAUGUCGGCUCAUCACAUCCUGGGGCUGAAGUAGGUCCCAAGGGUAUGGCUGUUCGCCAUUUAAAGUGGUACGCGAGCUGGGUUUAGAACGUCGUGAGACAGUUCGGUCCCUAUCUGCCGUGGGCGCUGGAGAACUGAGGGGGGGCUGCUCCUACGUACGAGAGGACCGGAGUGGACGCAUCACUGGUGUUCGGGUUGUCAUGCCAAUGGCACUGCCCGGUAGCUAAAUGCGGAAGAGAUAAGUGCUGAAAGCAUCUAAGCACGAAACUUGCCCCGAGAUGAGUUCUCCCUGACUCCCUGAGAGUCCUGAAGGAACGUUGAAGACGACGACGUUGAUAGGCCGGGUGUGUAAGCGCAGCGAUGCGUUGAGCUAACCGGUACUAAUGAACCGUGAGGCUUAACCUUACAACGCCGAAG
rnacentral:rRNA from 1 species